rnacentral:rRNA from 1 species
AUUGAACGCUGGCGGCAGGCCUAACACAUGCAAGUCGAACGAGUGGCGGACGGGUGAGUAAUGUCUGGGAACCUGCCUGAUGGAGGGGGAUAACUACUGGAAACGGUAGCUAAUACCGCAUACCAUCAGAUGUGCCGAGAUGGGAUUAGCUUGUUGGUGGGGUAACGGCUCACCAAGGCGACGAUCCCUAGCUGGUCUGAGAGGAUGACCAGCCCCACUGGAACUGAAACGCGGUCCAGACCCCUACGCGAGGCGGCAGAGGGGAAUAGUGCACAAUGGGAGCAGGGCUGAUGCGACCAAGCCACGUAGAUGAAAGGGGGCUUGGGGUUGGAGAGUAAUUUCAGCUGGAAGGCGGUACCAGCAGAAGAAGCACCGGCUAACUCCGUGCCAGCCGCCGCGGUAAUAC